GACGAACGCUGGCGGCGUGCUUAACACACGCAAGUCGAACGGUAAGGCCCUUCGGGGUACACGAGUGGCGAACGGGUGAGUAACACGUGGGUGAUCUGCCCUGCACUUCGGGAUAAGCCUGGGAAACUGGGUCUAAUACCGGAUAGGACCCUGGGAUGCAUGUCCUGGGGUGGAAAGCUUUUGCGGUGUGGGAUGGGCCCGCGGCCUAUCAGCUUGUGGGUGGGGUGAUGGCCUACCAAGGCGACGACGGGGAGCCGGCCUGAGAGGGUGACCGGCCACACUGGGACUGAGAUACGGCCCAGACUCCUACGGGAGGCAGCAGUGGGGAAUAUUGCACAAUGGGCGCAAGCCUGAUGCAGCGACGCCGCGUGAGGGAUGACGGCCUUCGGGUUGUAAACCUCUUUCAGCACCGACGAAGCGCAAGUGACGGUAGGUGCAGAAGAAGGACCGGCCAACUACGUGCCAGCCGCCGCCGUAA
rnacentral:rRNA from 1 species